rnacentral:rRNA from 1 species
GAUGAACGCUGGCGGCGUGCCUAAUACAUGCAAGUCGAGCGAACAGACGAGGAGCUUGCUCCUCUGACGUUAGCGGCGGACGGGUGAGUAACACGUGGAUAACCUACCUAUAAGACUGGGAUAACUUCGGGAAACCGGAGCUAAUACCGGAUAAUAUAUUGAACCGCAUGGUUCAAUAGUGAAAGACGGUUUUGCUGUCACUUAUAGAUGGAUCCGCGCCGCAUUAGCUAGUUGGUAAGGUAACGGCUUACCAAGGCAACGAUGCGUAGCCGACCUGAGAGGGUGAUCGGCCACACUGGAACUGAGACACGGUCCAGACUCCUACGGGAGGCAGCAGUAGGGAAUCUUCCGCAAUGGGCGAAAGCCUGACGGAGCAACGCCGCGUGAGUGAUGAAGGUCUUCGGAUCGUAAAGCGCUGUUAUUAGGGAAGAACAAAUGUGUAAGUAACUAUGCACGUAUUGACGGUACCUGAUCAGAAAGCCACGGCUAACUACGUG